rnacentral:rRNA from 1 species
UACGUAGGGGGCAAGCGUUGUCCGGAUUUACUGGGCGUAAAGGGCGCGUAGGCGGCGUGGUAAGUCACUUGUGAAAUCUCUGAGCUUAACUCAGAACGGCCAAGUGAUACUGCUGUGCUAGAGUGCAGAAGGGGCAAUCGGAAUUCUUGGUGUAGCGGUGAAAUGCGUAGAUAUCAAGAGGAACACCUGAGGUGAAGACGGGUUGCUGGGCUGACACUGACGCUGAUGCGCGAAAGCCAGGGGAGCAAACGGG